rnacentral:rRNA from 1 species
UACGUAGGGGGCAAGCGUUGUCCGGAUUUAUUGGGCGUAAAGAGCGUGUAGGCGGCCAAGCAGGUCCGCUGUGAAAACUCGAGGCUCAACCUCGAGACGCCGAUGGAAACCAUAUGGCUAGAGUCCGGAAGAGGAGAGUGGAAUUCCUGGUGUAGCGGUGAAAUGCGCAGAUAUCAGGAGGAACACCGGUGGCGAAGGCGGGUCUCUGGGCCGAUACUGACGCUGAGGAGCGAAAGCGUGGGGAGCGAACAGG